rnacentral:lncRNA from 1 species
GCUGUUUCACUGCUAUUAACGUGCCAUUUGGUAAUACUCCCUUCAUUAUAACACAAAAAAUUAAUUUUCAACAUUGUAAACAACAUUCUUCAAUAUUCCGUGAUCGAGAAAGAAAUUGUAGAGUACCUUGUAAACCAAGCCAAAACCACCUUCUCCAAUCUUAUUAGCAACAUCAAAAUUGUUUGUUGCAAUUUUGAUUUGCUUCAAAGUAAAGGAACCAGUGUUAAGCUCUAGACCAUUCAGGUCUACACCAUGCAGAUCUUUCAUCUCUGCAACGUAAACAACCCCGCCACCAUAAAAGUCCUAAAAUUAGGAUGAUGGCACAAAAAGCUCCAAUCACAAUCCCAGCCACAAUUCCUCCGGACACACCGUUUCCAUUUUCCUGCGAUUCACUUUGUGGAACCU